rnacentral:lncRNA from 1 species
UACAGCAAGCGUCGUGGACACGGAUGCCUCAGUGAGGCCUGGGGUGGGGGCGUCCAGGCCUCCCCAGCGUCCGUCUGUGCAGCUCGCAGGAUAGACUGACACAGCGACAGCAACGUUUCCUGAAUCCCUGAGGAUAUGCACACCUGUGGCAGAGGGGCCGCCCAAGCAGGUGCCUUUGGGAAGACAGAGCCAUCCGAUAGUGACCUCCCCUGGCCUGGCCUGCACCUGUGCGCACCUGCUGCAAGCAGGGCCAUGUGAGUUGGCGGUGUUCAGCAUCUUGCUGGUGGAGGGGCAGGCUGAACCCAAGAAGCUUUGUAAAAAAUUCUCUGGGAUGGAAUUUGGAGGUGGAAAGAUCACAUGCAGAUUCAUGUGGUGGAUGGAAACAAGUGACCGGUUCCCAUUAUUUUCAGCAGGUAAGUAGAGGCUAAAGCAGCAGCAAUAGUAACAACACACAGCCCAGACCCUGCUGACAUGUCCUUCCUGUCCUCAAGAGCUUGACAUUUUUUAGGUUGUCCUCCAGGGUUGCUGCCUGGUUGGAAAGAUGCCCUAUAUCAACUAUCAACUCUACAGCCAGCCUAGACCACCGGAAACCUGAGCCCCGGGGGCGAGGCUGGAACCAAGACGUCUCCAAUCCUUGAUGAUGAUGAUCCACUCACCCUGUGGGUCCCUUGUGGUGCUGGUGUACCCAGGUACCUCGUCUUGUUCUUGGGACGUCUGGGAGCUUUGAGCAGCGUCAACUGGGGAUAUGUUUUAGGAUCUGUGUCUUUGAAGGUUUUGCUUCCUUUACAUACAACACAUCUUUCCCCGUUCCUCAUUUCCUGGGGAACGCGCUAGUCCUUUCCCAGCACUGGGCAUUGAGAAGAGAACAACGAGGAGCUGGAAGAAAAGACCUGGCAAAGUCUUCUUUGGGUCAGUUCUGAAGCUGUGCUGUUCUGGGCAUUGCCCUGGGAUUGCAUAAUCCACCCCAGUGCUGACGAAGUCUCACCUGGCACCACUUCAGGUUAAAUAAACUUGGCCCAGGACGUCCAGCUUCCAGAGAAAUUUUGUUUCACUAGUCUUCCUGCUGCUGAACUUCAGACAAAAUUGAAACAAUAAUUAUUUGAAGGCACUGGGAAGUGACCUGAAGCAGAUGAAAAAAACCCUCGAGGUACAUGAGCUUUGAGAGGAGUUUGAAAGAAAGCUUUUCUCCUGAGGGCUC